rnacentral:lncRNA from 1 species
UUUCGUAUAUUUCUUUUGUAUGUCAAACCAUGGGAAGCAAAUAUGGAUAUCUCAUAAAGCAAACUUGGAUCAAUGUCCAAUUGUAAAAAUAUUUGUUUAAUUGAUUCAUGUACCACACAUACGAUAUUCAAAGAGAAGAAAUAUUUCUCCCAUUUAAGUAUGUGUAAGGCAGAUGUUACUACAAUUUCUGGUAAUAGUAAAUUAAU